rnacentral:rRNA from 1 species
UACGUAGGGUGCGAGCGUUACUCGGAAUUACUGGGCGUAAAGCGUGCGCAGGCGGUUAUAUAAGACAGUUGUGAAAUCCCCGGGCUCAACCUGGGAAUUGCAUCUGUGACUGUAUAGCUAGAGUACGGUAGAGGGGGAUGGAAUUCCGCGUGUAGCAGUGAAAUGCGUAGAUAUGCGGAGGAACACCGAUGGCGAAGGCAAUCCCCUGGACCUGUACUGACGCUCAUGCACGAAAGCGUGGGGAGCAAACAGG